GGUUUCCGGAAUAUGGCGGGGCGUUUGGCGCUUGCUGCAGCCAGAGCUCCAGGUGUCGUUUUCAUUUCUGUGUCCUCUUCCUAGAGGCCCAGCCUGUGUGGCCGUGUGACCUGCAGAUAUUGGGAGAUCCACAGCUAAGACUCCAGGACGCCCUGGAAGCCUAGAAAUGUGACUGUGCAUGACCUGUAGCCGUGUCUGGGGAGCUCUGCACGCGCAAUUCUGCAGUCUCUCCCAGAUUGUGCAAGAACCAUGGGAGGGGCGUCAGAUGGAGUCUUGCUCUGUCACCCAGGCUGGAGUGCAUGGCACCAUCUCGUCUCACUGCAACUUCCAUCUCCCGGGUUCAAGUGGUUCUCCUGCCUCAGCCUCAUGAGUAGCUGGGACUACAGACGUGCGCCACCACGCCUGGCUAAUUUUUUUUUUUUGUAUUUUUAGUAAAGACAGUGUUUCACUGUGUUAGCCAGGAUAGUCUCGAUCUCCUGACAUCGUGAUCUGCCCGCCUCAGCUUCCCAAAGUGCUGGGACUACAGGCAUGAGCCAUCAUGCCCAGCCCUGAAUUAUAUCUUUAUCAAGUUGUGGUCUAAGUGAGCAUUUGGUAUGAUUUUGGGAUUAUUGAAUUUGCUGAGGAGUGUUGUGUUUCUGAUUGCGUGGUCAAUUUUAGAAUAUGUGACACAUGG
rnacentral:sRNA from 1 species